rnacentral:tRNA from 1 species
AUGGAUGUGGCUCAGUGGUAGAGUGCUUGCCUUGCAUGCGUGUGGCCCUGGGUUCAAUUCCUCAGCACCACA